rnacentral:rRNA from 1 species
UACGGAGGGUGCAAGCGUUAUCCGGAUUCACUGGGUUUAAAGGGUGCGUAGGUGGGUUGGUAAGUCAGUGGUGAAAUCUCCAGGCUUAACUUGGAAACUGCCAUUGAUACUAUCAAUCUUGAAUACCGUGGAGGUCAGCGGAAUAUGUCAUGUAGCGGUGAAAUGCUUAGAUAUGACAUAGAACGCCAAUUGCGAAGGCAGCUGGCUACACGAAUAUUGACACUGAUGCACGAAAGCGUGGGGAUCAAACAGG